CGGAACGUUGCAGGCACUUGUUUCCUCAGUGGAUGCCUUUCGGCGCGCCGCCGCCCGGCGCCGCGGGACUGGGAGACCGGGAGUUGAGAAGAGGAGGAAGAAUAAUGGGAGGAGACAGGACCUUUUUCAACUUGACAAAUAGAUUUCUGAGAGAGCAGACACCAUCUUAUUUCUGUUGAAUUGUAUUUAGUAACUCAAAAGGCAUAUACCAAGCUGUCAGAAGCAGCUUCAUUUAAAAGAAAUAAAAUUUCUAGUCCUGCCUGAAGUUUAAGCUAGCCCAUGACUACACAAGUGCAACUGUAUUUCCCAGGUAGAUGCCGGUAGAUUGGGCCCAGUAAGUUUGGGCCGUUGGGAUGUGAAAGGAAGAGAUGCGGGCAACUUUUUGGGUCAUCUUCUUAAAGAAAAAGCCAUUUGUCCUGGAUGCCCUCUUUUCUUUUUUCUCUUUGGCUGGGAAAUGACAAGAAUUAAAGCAGCAGCCUUGGAUCCAGAGAUGGACGCCAAUUGAUGAAGACAGCAGAACUGACUGGCUAGUCUGGGUUCCCUGGAGCAGAGCUGUCUCUCCACCCUAGGUUAUCCACUUACUUUUGUACUGUUAUGUGAGAGAGAAAUAAACUUCUAUCUUCUUU
rnacentral:lncRNA from 10 species